rnacentral:rRNA from 1 species
UACGUAGGGUGCGAGCGUUGCCCGGAUUUACUGGGCGUAAAGGGCGCGUAGGCGGCAAUUCAAGUCAUCUGUGAAAUCUCCGGGCUUAACUCGGAAUGGUCAGGUGAUACUGCUUUGCUAGAGUGCAGAAGGGGCAAUCGGAAUUCUUGGUGUAGCGGUGAAAUGCGUAGAUAUCAAGAGGAACACCUGAGGUGAAGACGGGUUGCUGGGCUGACACUGACGCUGAGGCGCGAAAGCUAGGGGAGCAAACGGG